UAGCUAUUACACCGCUUCCCCCGGCCGUGCUGAGGAUGAAGACAUUCGCAAGAUGUGGAUUAAAAACGUACACCGAAAGGACUUUGCCCCCAAACAAGUAUUCAAGGGUGUGUGGAGUACACUUCCCUGACGGCAGACCAACGCAGGAACACCCAUAUCCCAUAAUAUGGGAUAUGAAUAUAGUAAAGCACCGUCAUGUGGAAGACCACCCCAAAGAGGAGAUGUCUCCAGCCCCCAACAGAGAGACCAUGUGAUGAGCCUCCUGUGACAGAUUCUGACACCGAAGUAGGGCAUAGCUUGGAGGAUAGUCUGUCUCCACACCAAUGUGAUGUUGGCACUCAGUGGCCAGAGCGUAGUGAUCAUGAUUGUUGUUCGAUGAAGUCAACAAAAGAUGCAAGCACACAAACCGAUCCUACACC